UACUUUGAAGUCCCUUCCUCGGGAAGAUUGA
rnacentral:piRNA from 1 species